AUCGAACGCUAGCGGGAUGCUUUACACAUGCAAGUCGAACGAGUGGCGGACGGGUGAGUAAUAUAUCGGAACGUGCCCAGUAGCGGGGGAUAACUACUCGAAAGAGUGGCUAAUAACGAAUACUAUAGGCGCGGCCGCUAUCGGAUUAGCUAGUGGGUGGGGUAGAGGCUAACCAAGGCAACGAUCCGUAGCUGGUUUGAGAGGACGACCAGCCACACUGGGACUGAGACACGGACCAUACGCCGACGGGAGGAAGCAGUGGGGAAUUUUGGACAAUGGGGGAAACCCUGAUGCAGCCAUCCCGCGUGUAUGAGAAGGCCUUCGGGUUGAAAAGUACUUUUGGCAGAGAAGCGGUAUCUGCAGAAUAAGCACCGGCUAACUACGUGCCAGCCGCCGCGGUAAUUC
rnacentral:rRNA from 1 species